AAUACAUAUAGAACAAAAGUUGUUUAGAAUAACGAGAGCUUUCAUUUAAAAUUAAGAAAAAAGGGCUGGCCCCUAUAAUUAGGGGUCAGCAGCUCAUACACGUAUUUUUCUGAUAGCAAAAAUCGUUAUCAUUUUAUGAAAAAAAAUUAAUUCAGUUAUUGUUAAUAUAUUAAAUAAUGUCAUUUGGUAUCAAAUUUAAAAAGUUCUGUGCCCUAUUUUUUUCAAAUUUCAUAAAACAAAUAUGUGUGAAUCGUAACGUUACAUGAACGAGUUAAUUUGUCUACAUAGACACACAAGCGAACAAAUGCCACUUUAAGGCCCAGGCAUAUACUGCAUUACGUUGUGUUGCGUCUUAGAUAAAUAGUUGUGAUUCAAUUUCAUUUUUUUCAUCUAUAUCAUUUAUGAAUUCAAUGAACACACAUUAUUUUAACGUUCUAUGUGCAACUAUUUGUCGGGGCGCCCCUGUUUGUAACCCCCGCGCGCGCGCCGAAUGUAAACAGUAACGAACGGCAUUGUAGAAAAGAGAGAGCCGUAAUGCAGAAGAGAAGUUGUGUAUUCUUUCGACGUACAAAUGCAUUUUCAAUUUACUGUGAAACAUAUGAACAUGCACAGGGAACAAUACUACAUAUUUGUUUAAGGAGGAUAUUUUUCUCGUGUGAAUCGUUUACGAGGAAAUUCUGACAGCCACACUUCUGUCGACGAUCAGCCGUUGAUAAGCUACGAGUAAUAAAGGGGAAAAGAUGGACAUUAAAGUGUGUGAUUUAUGUGGAUGUUACUGAAGAAGCUCAAAACAGACUCUUGUUACCACAUGGCUUUUACCGGUACCUGUUGAUUCUUGUGGGUCAGCUCCUGAGAUUAACCUGUCACCUCUAUCCACAUGCAUAUUCCUUGUGUUCUACAGACUAUUUACCGGUAAUUCAAAUUAAAUCCGAUAAUGCAUAAACAAUAAUGGAACUUGAAGAAAGCAUCAUGCCAUGUUGUGGUUUGUGUUUGAUAAGAAAUUAUGAAAACAAAAUUAAGGCUGUUUAUAAAGAAAUUCAUAAUUGCUGUGAAAAUUUGUUUUUCAAUAAAAGUAUGCAAUUAUG